rnacentral:rRNA from 1 species
UACGAAGGGGGCUAGCGUUGUUCGGAAUUACUGGGCGUAAAGGGUGCGUAGGUGGGCAAGUAAGUCAGUGGUGAAAUCUCCGGGCUUAACCCGGAAACUGCCAUUGAUACUAUUUGUCUUGAAUACUGUGGAGGUCAGCGGAAUAUGUCAUGUAGCGGUGAAAUGCUUAGAUAUGACAUAGAACACCAAUUGCGAAGGCAGCUGGCUACACAAAUAUUGACACUGAGGCACGAAAGCGUGGGGAUCAAACAGG